rnacentral:rRNA from 1 species
GAACCUGGUUGAUCCUGCCAGUUAGUCAUAUGCUUGUCUCAAAGAUUAAGCCAUGCAUGUCUAAGUAUAAACAUCUUUAUACAGUGAAACUGCGUACAGCUCAUUAUAUCAGUUAUUAUUUAUUUGAUGGUACCUUACUACAUGGAUACCCGUAGUAAUUCUAGAGCUAAUACAUGCGUCAAGUCCCGACUUU